GAUGAACGCUGGCGGCGUGCCUAAUACAUGCAAGUCGAGCGAACAGAUAAGGAGCUUGCUCCUUUGACGUUAGCGGCGGACGGGUGAGUAACACGUGGGUAACCUACCUAUAAGACUGGAAUAACUCCGGGAAACCGGGUCUAAUGCCGGAUAACAUUUAGAACCGCAUGGUUCUAAAGUGAAAGAUGGUUUUGCUAUCACUUAUAGGUGGACCCGCGCCGUAUUAGCUAGUUGGUAAGGUAACGGCUUACCAAGGCAACGAUACGUAGCCGACCUGAGAGGGUGAUCGGCCACACUGGAACUGAGACACGGUCCAGACUCCUACGGGAGGCAGCAGUAGGGAAUCUUGCGCAAUGGGCGAAAGCCUGACGGAGCAACGCCGCGUGAGUGAUGAAGGUCUUCGGAUCGUAAAACGCUGUUAUUAGGGAAGAACAAAUGUGUAAGUAAAUGUGCACGUCUUGACGGUACCUAAUCAGAAAGCCACGGCUAACUACGUG
rnacentral:rRNA from 1 species